rnacentral:lncRNA from 1 species
UCACUAUAUUGCCCAGGCUGGUCUUGAACUCCUGGCCUUAAGCGAUCCUCCUGCCUUGGCCUCCCAAAGUGCUGGAGUUACAGAUGUGAGCCUCUGUGCUCAGCCCAUCCUUGGCUGUUCAAGUGUAGAGGGACGCGGCUUCCCCUGAACGCGGAUCCUAGAGGCCAGGCAGAAGCAGCAUGGGUUUCCACUCACAUGGUAGGCGGCUGUGCGAUUUCGUCUGGAGUCCCCGGACCCCUCCUCAUCCUUCCCAGGGUUGCUCUGAGGCC